rnacentral:lncRNA from 10 species
GCUUAUUGGGAAUGGCUUUUAUGAUUUUUAAAGUAGCCUUGAGAGCUUCCAGUUAAAUCUGAUGAGCUGAACAUACACCUUUCCUUCUCCCCUCUCUAUUCUGACCCCAGUUGAAAUCACCUCAAAGGAAUUUAGGUGGGGGAGUGGCCCCAUAAAGAGAGUGAGAGAGAGUCACCACUGCAGAUGGACCACAGCACGGGUGGAGAUGGGCCUGAUGUGGCAGAGCAGAGAGGCCAUGACAGUGCACACCCUGCGGAGACCCUGGGUCCUCACAUCUGGGCUGACAGAAGGCAGAGGGAAAUGAGCAUCUCAAAGUGAGACCAACUAAACAUGGCGCCUGCAGCAGAAAGCAGUGUCCUCUGCACCCCCACUCUCCAGGGAGAGCACAGAGAGCCCAGAAAUGAGCCAUGUGCCCAUUGCCGGGGAAGAGAAGACCCUGUCUGCUGUUAUCUGUAGGAAGACCACAGCCAACUGCUAUCAUGACCAAAGCUAAAAUCCAAUGAGGCAGAGAACAAUAGUUGUACCCAUCUCCUCCUUAGUCUCCAAGGCCAGCGGUGCAUGCAUUUGUGCAUUCAACAACAUUUGCCAAGCACUUACUGUAUAUCAAGCACAGCAGUGGGUGCUGAGGACGGAUGGGUAGAAAAAACAGUCCUGGCCCAGGUGGAGUGACAGGUAAGAAACAAGUAAGUAGCUAAAAUAAUGUUAGGUAGAAAAAAAUAACAAGAAUAAAAGCAAGGAAAAGGGAAGGGACCCUCACUUGUGUCUGAUACAGCCAUAAUCUUCUCUAUCGGCCAUUGCUGUAACCAAAGCUUAACCACC